rnacentral:lncRNA from 1 species
UGGGGCUGUAAUAUCUAUUUUUUGUUCUUAAUGCUUGAAGGAAAAAAUGUCUUGCCAAACAAAAGAGAGAAAAAAGUUGUUGUGCUGAAAAGUUCAUUAAAAUUUCUAAAACAAAAUUCUGCUUUUCACAUCAUCCUGUUUAUAUAGACUAUCAUUUUGGGGCCUUUUGUAGCAGGCUAUAUGGUAUGGGGUUUUGCUUAUUGUUGAAGACCGUACGGUGACCUAUACCUUUUAAUUUCUGUGUUAUUCGGUCUCUUGUGUAUAGUUGUCUCAUUGGCAAAUAUACCACAUCUUUAUAUAUGAUCAUACUUUACUUACAAAAUGACUGGCAUUUUUAGUAACUCUUAACAAAUUAUUUGCUUCAUGCAAUUACUAUAACAUUUGCAUAUAUACUGGAUAGUGAUUUCUGACAUUUAUAUCUAGUUUGAUUAGUGAAUUGUAU